UCGCUUGAGACGUUCAUACUGGA
rnacentral:siRNA from 1 species